AAACGACUCUCGGCAACGGAUAUCUCGGCUCUCGCAUCGAUGAAGAACGUAGCGAAAUGCGAUACUUGGUGUGAAUUGCAGAAUCCCGUGAACCAUCGAGUCUUUGAACGCAAGUUGCGCCCGAAGCCUUCGGGCCGAGGGCACGUCUGCCUGGGUGUCACGC
rnacentral:rRNA from 2 species